rnacentral:rRNA from 1 species
CGGAUGAACGCUAGCGGCAGGCUUAACACAUGCAAGUCGAGGGGCAGCGAGGGUAGCAAUACCUGUCGGCGACCGGCGGAAGGGUGAGUAACGCGUGAGCAACAUACCCGUAUCAGUGGGAUAAUACAGGGAAACUUGUUCUAAUAUCGCAUAAUAUUAUUCAGAGGCAUCUUUGGAUAAUUAAAGUUACGGCGGAUACGGAAUGGCUCGCGUGACAUUAGCUAGAUGGUAGGGUAAUGGCCUACCAUGGCGAUGAUGUCUAGGGGUUCUGAGAGGGAGGUCCCCCACACUGGAACUGAGACACGGUCCAGACUCCUACGGGAGGCAGCAGUGAGGAAUAUUGGACAAUGGAUGGAAAUCUGAUCCAGCCAUGCCGCGUGCAGGAAGGCGGCCCUAUGGGUUGUAAACUGCUUUUGUACGGGAGCAAUAAGGUCUACGAGUAGAUUGAUGAGAGUACUGUGCGAAUAAGCAUCGGCUAACUCCGUG